rnacentral:rRNA from 1 species
GACGAACGCUGGCGGCGUGCUUAACACAUGCAAGUCGGACGCUGAAGCUCAGCUUUUGUUGGGUGGAUGAGUGGCGAACGGGUGAGUAACACGUGAGUAACCUGCCUCCUUCUUUGGGAUAACGCCCGGAAACGGGUGCUAAUACUGGAUAUUCACUGGUCUUCGCAUGGGGGUUGGUGGAAAGGGUUUUUCUGGUGGGGGAUGGGCUCGCGGCCUAUCAGCUUGUUGGUGGGGUGAUGGCCUACCAAGGCUUUGACGGGUAGCCGGCCUGAGAGGGUGACCGGUCACAUUGGGACUGAGAUACGGCCCAGACUACUACGGGAGGCAGCAGUGGGGAAUAUUGCACAAUGGGCGCAAGCCUGAUGCAGCGACGCCGCGUGAGGGAUGGAGGCCUUCGGGUUGUGAACCUCUUUCGCUCAUGGUCAAGCCGCAACAAUGGUUGUGGUGAGGGUAGUGGGUAAAGAAGCGCCGGCUAACUACGUG